GCUGACACAUUCCAGCCAAUCAGCAGCAGACCCUCCCUCCCAGACCCUCCCAUCUCCUGGACAGCUCACUAAGAAUGCAGCUUCAAAAUGGAUGCUGUCCAGGAGUUGGGAGGGUCUAGGAGGGAGGGUCUGCUGCUGAUUGGCUGGGAUGUGUCAG